ACCUAUACAACUUUCAGCAACGGAUCUCUUGGCUCUCGCAUCGAUGAAAAACGCAGCGAAAUGCGAUAAGUAAUGUGAAUUGCAGAAUUCAGUGAAUCAUCGA
rnacentral:rRNA from 1 species